AGUGAACGCUGGCGGUAGGCCUAACACAUGCAAGUCGAACGGCAGCACAGUAAGAUCUUGCUCUUACGGGUGGCGAGUGGCGGACGGGUGAGGAAUACAUCGGAAUCUACUUUUUCGUGGGGGAUAACGUAGGGAAACUUACGCUAAUACCGCAUACGACCUACGUGUGAAAGCAGGGGAUCUUCGUACCUUGCGCGAUUGAAUGAGCCGAUGUCGGAUUAGCUAGUUGGCGGGGUAAAGGCCCACCAAGGCGACGAUCCGUAGCUGGUCUGAGAGGAUGAUCAGCCACACUGGAACUGAGACACGGUCCAGACUCCUACGGGAGGCAGCAGUGGGGAAUAUUGGACAAUGGGCGCAAGCCUGAUCCAGCCAUACCGCGUGGGUGAAGAAGGCCUUCGGGUUGUAAAGCCCUUUUGUUGGGAAAGAAAAGCAGCAGGUUAAUACCCCGCUGUUCUGACGGUACCCAAAGAAUAAGCACCGGCUAACUUCGUG
rnacentral:rRNA from 1 species